GACGAACGCUGGCGGCGUGCCUAAUACAUGCAAGUAGAACGCACAGUUUAUACCGUAGCUUGCUACACCAUAGACUGUGAGCUGCGAACGGGUGAGUAACGCGUAGGUAACCUGCCUGGUAGCGGGGGAUAACUAUUGGAAACGAUAGCUAAUACCGCAUAAUAUUAAUUAUUGCAUGAUAAUUAAUUGAAAGGUGCAAUUGCACCACUACCAGAUGGACCUGCGUUGUAUUAGCUAGUAGGUGAGGUAACGGCUCACCUAGGCGACGAUACAUAGCCGACCUGAGAGGGUGAUCGGCCACACUGGGACUGAGACACGGCCCAGACUCCUACGGGAGGCAGCAGUAGGGAAUCUUCGGCAAUGGACGAAAGUCUGACCGAGCAACGCCGCGUGAGUGAAGAAGGUUUUCGGAUCGUAAAGCUCUGUUGUAAGAGAAGAACGGGUGUGAGAGUGGAAAGUUCACACUGUGACGGUAUCUUACCAGAAAGGGACGGCUAACUACGUG
rnacentral:rRNA from 1 species